rnacentral:lncRNA from 1 species
AACAGACAGAAAAGCAAUGGUGAUGUUCACUGCAGCCUCCGUCAACACAGUCUGACAGCACUUUUCCUUAUCAUAUGUUCACUCCUAGACACAAACAACCAACUACAGAAGCAACAAGGUACAAAGACUGAGAGACUAAGUAUGAAUGAGAAGUUGAUGUUCCAAGCAAAUCAUUUAAAUUGGCAUAUUUAACGGAUUCUGAUGACUCCUCCUGCUUUGCUGUAGCCACACAAUUAUUAUGCAUCUAGACCACUCUAAUGACUGAUCUAGCAAAUCAAACAGAUAGUUACUCUCCCAGUCCUUUGUUAUUAAAAACAAACAAAGGCGAAGGGGAGCCAAGCCAGGUCAGUAACAGCCCUAGAGCUGGGGUUUUGAGAUUCCUUUCCCACAUACUCCAAGGAAGCAAGUGCGUAUCCUGCGCUCCUCCGCAGGGAACAGUGUGUGAGAAAGGCGAGUAAUUAAACCUGAAACUGGAGGAAUCUGACUAUAAGAUAUUUGCUUUGGGUGCAUAUGUAAAUUGUUUUGGUUUCCAAGCAUGUUAUUAAGAAUAUAAAAUAGUUUUCAUUCAUUCCUGCUGGCCAGACAUGAGGCUUCCCAGGGUAGUGGGAGGAUUAGUGGGAGGGUAAAACACGGAUUUAGAAUUCUCAGACACAACUUGGAAUUCAUUUUCUCAUAGAAAAAGAAAGGUUCCCAGGCUAGCCUGCCAACGCUCGUCUCAUCCACAGAGUGGAAGGCAGUUUUAUUUUUCUGUACCCGAAGAGACAGUGUGGUGUUAGGACGGGAAUCUUUGCUUGGCAAGCAGGAAGCUCUGCUUCUAGUUCAGUCAGCUGCUCACUGCGUGAGCCCACAUCAUGAUGUCACAGCUGUGCACUCCAUCACCUCUGAAACUCACAGCUUUGUGCUUGGUGUCCAGGUGGCUCCAAGUCUGAGAAGACAAGGCCAAGGCAGGGAACCCCUUCUGAAGGAGCAUGGAGGCAGCCUAUUGGAGUCAUCACCACCUAAGUAGCUAGGAUCUUUGUGUGGGGGUGGGAUGGGUGAGGAGAAGAAGAGGGCAAGGAGACGGCAUCGAACUCAUGGCCUACUUUCCUCAUGUUGUGUGCGUGCUCUACAAUUGUGAAACCUCCAGCCCCAGAGCUUCAUAUUAUGUGACACCUGGUGUUUCUUGCCUUUAAUCAUUGUAAUAGAUUAAUUAAUUAAAGAAAAAAACCACUGGGUGAGGGC